rnacentral:rRNA from 1 species
AUGGACCUUUUACAACAAUAUUUCAAUCCGGUAGAUGUCGAGCAGAUUGUUAAAAUUCGGACUUCUCCACGGCUAGAAGAGGAUGUCCUUGCUUGGGAACCGGAGUGUAAUGGUAUCUUCACGGUUCGGAGCGUGUACCGGCUUGCACUUGAUGAACGUCUUCGUCCAUCUUCAGUCGCGGCGAGCAGGGCACCGGAUGGGCGACGAGCCGUCUGGGGUUUUUUAUGGAGGUGCCCUGCUCCUCCUAAGGUGCGUGUGUUUGCUUGGCGGGUGGCGACGAACUGUCUGGCCACAUGGACUAAUAAACAUGCUCGUAGCCUUGAAGUAUCUAACUUGUGUCAUGUGUGUGCUACCGAACCGGAGGACACUUUUCAUGCUCUCUGCAGAUGUCCUCAUGCGAUCACCUUGUGGCAAGCUAUGGCGCGGCAAUGGAAUAUUCCGGACAUCCGUCGAGUAAUGCACACUGGGCCAGAGUGGCUUUUUCAUGUGCUCGCGGACUUGUCACCAGAGGAGAGGAUGUAUACGCUCAUGACGAUUUGGCGUUGCUGGCAUGUGAGGAAUGAGAUCGUCCACGACAAACGACCACCGCCGGUCGAAGCCUCGACCAGAUUCCUAUCCAGCUAUAUCAACUCAUUGCUAGCCAUCCAGGCGUACCCUCAUGGAGAUCACAUCAAAGGAAAAAUGGUGGCUGCACCUUUGUAUAGCAGAAAAUUGUUAUCACAUGUAGAGCGUGAGAAGCCAUCAGCACUUGGGUGGGAGGCACCGCCGGCCGGCUGGGCUGCGCUCAACAUUGACGGGUCCUUUUCUGCCAAGGACGGAACUGCAGGAGCUGGCAUGGUCCUCCGGGAUGAACAUGGAGAUAUUAUUUUUUCGUCUUGCCGUGAGUUAAGGCAGUGUGCAUCACCACUAGAAUCUGAACUUGCUGCAUGUUCAGAAGGCAUCUCCCUGGCUACCCAGUGGUCUGAGCUGCCUUUUGUGAUUCAAACGGACUGCGCAGAAGUGGUAAAACUAAUUGAAGGAGAUACUGGUGACCAAUCGGAGCAUAUGAUGUUGAUCCGCGAGAUUACUUCGCGUCUUCGGGAACAUGGGGAAUUCUUAGUUAAGCUUGUGAGGCGUGAACAAAACGCUGUUAGUCAUUUUUUAGCGAACUUUGGUCGAAUAAAGAAGCGCACAGCGUUGUGGCUUCAUUCUGGGCCGGACGAGGUUCCGGACCUUUGUAAUGCAGACAUGGCUGUCACUUAA